rnacentral:tmRNA from 1 species
GGGGGCGAAACGGUUUCGACGGGGAUAAAGAAGUUCCGGCUGCAUACCGAGUUCCUGGCUUCUCGUUAAACAGACAGGAUUAAAUAUAAUCGCAGACGAUUAUAACUACGCAGUAGCCGCUUAACGGCUACCGUCCUGCCGGGCAGGGCCUGCGGGCCUGGCGAGGGCGUCAAGAGCAGGAUAGCCCGACCGGAUGUUCCGGGUACGGUCUGGCGAAACCCUACCGGAAUAGCCCAAACGACAUCCCGCCCGAAGGAGAUCGUGUGGGCGAACCUCAAAAUUCGGGAUAUGUAUGUAGACGCCUGGACGGAAUGUUUUCGGACGCGGGUUCGAUUCCCGCCGCCUCCACCA